CAUCGUUGUAAUUCCCACAUGCUGGUUUGUCAUAUAGCCCCAAGUCAAGUGAACACAAAAAAGGAAAAAUGCCAUUUGAAAGAAUUUGUACAAACGAACCGGCCGGAUAUGUAACUGAAUCCUCUCUCCGGAAACCCUAGAAUUGCUGUUCUCGGUCCAGUUUUGAUUUCGUGAUGGAUAUCGACAUAUCGCGUUGGAUUUUGGAGUUUAUUCUUCGGCAACCUCUCCAAGACUACAUUCUUGACGCUCUAAUUGGCGUUCUUCCUCUUCCCAAUGACCAUGUGAGGCUCAAGAAAGCCCUUAUUGUUCAAAAAAUCCAGUCCGAGAUUUCAAAUGGGUCCGUUUCGGAGAAAAUUCUUAAAUUUCUCGAGUUGAUGGAAGAAUUAUAUACUCAAGAAGGAAUUGAAGCUUCUGAAGCAAUGCAAGCCGCUUAUUGUGCGGUAGCAGUGGAUUGUACAGUGAGGUUCUUGGGUGAAAAAGUGAAGUAUUUUGAAGCAGUAAAGAGGAUAUGGAAACAGAGAAUCAAUAAAAUGGAGAAUGUAGGCGUCGUAUCAAAAGAAUUAUGGGAGUGGAGAGAUGAAAUUGAAGCAGCAUUAUGGGAAGAUAGGUUUUGUGAUAAUGUGAAAAUACGGAGUAAAAGCAUAGCAGCUGUUGAAGCAGUUAAGGUUUUUGUUGAAGAAGCUAAGGAGAGAAUUGGGCCUCCCUUUCUCCAGGUUUUGGUAGAAACUUUAAGGCGUGAUGAUGAUGCAGUGAAGGCAGGUUUGGAUUGGCAAAACAAACAAGUGUCUCAGGACUUGACUUGUAGUAACCAUGAUAGAGAGGCAAACAAGGGAGAUGCAUUGCUUAGGCGCAAGCAUAUUGCUGUCCAGCACACAAGAGGAACAACAGCUGGGAUUUGCAGAGGUGUCAAAAUUGCUGAACCAGGAGUUGAGGCAUCAUGUGGACCGGAUGAUUUGCUGUCUACACCUAAAACUGAUGAAGCACUUAAGUUGAGUUCUUUGGAGCUGCGUGCAGUGGUGAAGGACCCUCUCCCUGAGGCACUGGAUCUUGCUGAGACUCUGAUGUCUUUGGACAGGAAUAAUAGUGCUCAGCAACCUGCAGAAAAUGACAAUGGAAGAGCCCCUAAUUUUGUGGUUGAUAGUAAUGGAGUAGUUCGAGCUAAUGAAGAUGACCAGCACUGUUGUCAUCAUAAUGCUGCACCCAAGCCAAGCUUAAUGGCUCGAAACAACACUGCUCAUACAUUUGAGUUUUUCAGAAGGCCAUUAAGAUACAUUCUUACAUAGCAAUGAGGCCAUUGUUGUUGAACAUGAUGAGAAGAUAUACAAACCAAAGAAAUUUGGUGAAACCGGCUAAGACAAGAUUUGCAACGGCCUUCUUAACUUUGCAAUAUUUUUACAUGCAAAAGAACAACUUGAGAACUAUGAUCUUCUCAACCGAAUGGACAAAAAGUAGAUUUGCAAAGGAAUUUUUGGGAAAAGAAGUUGUCAGACAUCUUACUUCUACAUCUUUUUGGAAUGAUGUUGUUGGGGCACUUAAAGUUGGUUCUCCUUUGAUAGUAGCGCUUCGCUUGGUGGAUGGAGAAAAAAACCAUCAAUGGGCUAUAUUUAUGAAGCAAUGGAUAGAGCCAAAAAAGCUAUUGAAAAGGGUUUUCAUGGUGAUCGGAAGCAAUAUGAGAGUUUUCGAAAUCAUUGAUCGGCGGUGGACGGACCAACUUCAUAGACCUUUGCAUGCAGCAAGCCAUGUUUUGAACCCGGGAAUGUUUUACACUAAUUAUCAAAAUAAGACUUUAUCAACAGAAGUGUGGGAAGGUUACCUUGAUUGUGUUGCUAAGAUGGUCCCUAAUGCAACACAAGAUGCUCUAGUCAAAGAGCUUCAUACGUAUAAACAUGCAUUGGGUAUAAACAUGCAUUGGGGACUUUUGGCAAGCCUCAGGCUAUAAGAAACAGAGACAAAACAUCCCCUUCUGAAUGGUGGUCGGUAUUUGGUAAUCAUACUCCAAACUUGCAACAGCUUGCCAUAAGAGUAUUAAGUUUAACUUGUAGCGCAUCCGGAUGCGAGAGAAAUUGGAGCGUGUUUGAACAU